AGUGAACGCUGGCGGUAGGCCUAACACAUGCAAGUCGAACGGCAGCACAGUAAGAGCUUGCUCUUACGGGUGGCGAGUGGCGGACGGGUGAGGAAUACAUCGGAAUCUACUUUUUCGUGGGGGAUAACGUAGGGAAACUUACGCUAAUACCGCAUACGACCUACGGGUGAAAGCAGGGGAUCUUCGGACCUUGCGCGAUUGAAUGAGCCGAUGUCGGAUUAGCUAGUUGGCGGGGUAAGGGCCCACCAAGGCGACGAUCCGUAGCUGGUCUGAGAGGAUGAUCAGCCACACUGGAACUGAGACGCGGUCCAGACUCCUACGGGAGGCAGCAGUGGGGAAUAUUGGACAAUGGGCGCAAGCCUGAUCCAGCCAUACCGCGUGGGUGAAGAAGGCCUUCGGGUUGUAAAGCCCUUUUGUUGGGAAAGAAAAGCAGCAGGUUAAUACCCCGCUGUUCUGACGGUACCCAAAGAAUAAGCACCGGCUAACUUCGUG
rnacentral:rRNA from 1 species